AUUGAACGCUGGCGGCAGGCCUAACACAUGCAAGUAGAACGAGUGGCGGAAGGGUGAGUAAUGUCUGGGAAACUGCCUGAUGGAGGGGGAUAACUACUGGAAACGGUAGCUAAUACCGCAUACCAUGAGCUGUGCCCAGAUGGGAUUAGCUUGUUGGUGGGGUAACGGAUCACCAAGGCGCAGAUCCCUAGAUGGUCUGAGAGGAUGACCAGCCACACUGUAACUGAGACACGGUCCAGACUCCUACGGGAGGCAGCAGUGGGGAAUAUUGCACAAUGGGCGCAAGCCUGAUGCAGCCAGGCCGCGUGUAUGAAGAAGGCCUUCGGGUUGUAAAGUACUUUCAGCUGGGAGGCGUUACCCGCAGAAGAAGCACCGGCUAACUCCGUGCCAGCAGCCGCGGUAAUAC
rnacentral:rRNA from 1 species